AAUGUUGAUCAGCCACAGCAUGAAGUUAUGGGAAGGAGUAGCAGCUAGGCUUAGAAAACAGGUGAAGAUCUGUGAGCAGCAAUAUGGGUUCAUGCUGAGAAAGUGCACUACGAUGCAAUGUUUCCUCUGAGAAUAUGAUGGAGAAGUAUAGAGAAGGCCAGAAGGAGUUACAUUGUGCGUUUUGUUGACUUUUUAAAAAUCUUAUAACAGGGUGCCAAGAGAAGAGUU